rnacentral:lncRNA from 1 species
CACUGACCAAUGCGUUGGAUCAAGUAAGGAUUGAAGAUCUGUACAAUGCUGGAGACCCCUGCAGUAAGUCUCUAGUCCCCAGCUGCCCAGUGUUUGACGCAGGCCUGAGAAAAAAAUACGCUAGGAGACUGAACCAGAAGAGAAAGCGGGGUGCCAGGAUGACCAACUGCUGUGUAACUGACAAAGAGUGAAGGCCGGGACAGCGUCAGAGUGUGAUAGGGGCAACACUGACUGUCCUGCAGCGCCCCGCGAUAGCUGUGAAGCAGCUGAUCAUCAAGGACAAAGCCUGCAGUGAGGAGGCCCCAAGAGAGGCAGCCAGGUCGGG